UUUGAUCCUGGCUCAGGACGAACGCUGGCGGCGUGCUUAACACAUGCAAGUCGAACGGAAAGGCCCUGCUUUUGUGGGGUGCUCGAGUGGCGAACGGGUGAGUAACACGUGAGUAACCUGCCCUUGACUUUGGGAUAACUUCAGGAAACUGGGGCUAAUACCGGAUAGGAGCUCCUGCUGCAUGGUGGGGGUUGGAAAGUUUCGGCGGUUGGGGAUGGACUCGCGGCUUAUCAGCUUGUUGGUGGGGUAGUGGCUUACCAAGGCUUUGACGGGUAGCCGGCCUGAGAGGGUGACCGGCCACAUUGGGACUGAGAUACGGCCCAGACUCCUACGGGAGGCAGCAGUGGGGAAUAUUGCACAAUGGGCGGAAGCCUGAUGCAGCAACGCCGCGUGCGGGAUGACGGCCUUCGGGUUGUAAACCGCUUUCGCCUGUGACGAAGCGUGAGUGACGGUAAUGGGUAAAGAAGCACCGGCUAACUACGUGCCAGCAGCCGCGGUGAUACGUAGGGUGCGAGCGUUGUCCGGAUUUAUUGGGCGUAAAGGGCUCGUAGGUGGUUGAUCGCGUCGGAAGUGUAAUCUUGGGGCUUAACCCUGAGCGUGCUUUCGAUACGGGUUGACUUGAGGAAGGUAGGGGAGAAUGGAAUUCCUGGUGGAGCGGUGGAAUGCGCAGAUAUCAGGAGGAACACCAGUGGCGAAGGCGGUUCUCUGGGCCUUUCCUGACGCUGAGGAGCGAAAGCGUGGGGAGCGAACAGGCUUAGAUACCCUGGUAGUCCACGCUGUAAACGGUGGGUACUAGGUGUGGGGUCCAUUCCACGGGUUCCGUGCCGUAGCUAACGCUUUAAGUACCCCGCCUGGGGAGUACGGCCGCAAGGCUAAAACUCAAAGGAAUUGACGGGGCCCCGCACAAGCGGCGGAGCAUGCGGAUUAAUUCGAUGCAACGCGUAGAACCUUACCUGGGUUUGACAUGGAUCGGGAG
rnacentral:rRNA from 1 species